CAGGGAGCCAUUUACUAGCACACCAUUUGUUAGAGUGUGAACUGGUUAGAAUGUAGACGAGGGAUAGUUGGAGGCCACAGAAGACAAGCAGAGAGACCAAACUAUCUGUACAUUCAUCUAGAAAGGCUAGAUAAAAAUAUAUUAUAUAUAGAUAAGAUUGCAUUAGAUUUGUAAUGUUACCUUCAAGAAAGAAGGAAAUUUCAGGAUAUCAGAAAUGCAGAGGACACAAAGCCCUAACAGUAAUGGUACAUACUAAUAUUAUGGCGGCCAGGAUGAGGGGGAAGAGCAGUUGAUAGAUCCAGAAGUGUCCUUUAGGAUAGAGGUUUGUGUUUCAAUGCCCAGACAGAGACAGGAGACAAGGCUCUGGGCUCAUGGAAGGUGAAGAGUUGGAAUGAAGACCGUUGCAUUGACAAACCCCUCAAAGAACUGCAUGCACCUCAGUGAGAAGAGAAAAUAAAAGCUCCACCUGCUGGCCUGGAAGCUCUUUCCUGGCUGUCAGCUCCGAGUCCAGCCUCUCCUCGCAUUGCUGCAGACGCUUUCUGAGGAACUCGUUCUCCAUCUGAGCACAGUCGAAGCGCAUCUGCCACUCGUCUGCUGUUUAACGGAGUCAGGGAGACCAGGAUAAGAGGCCAAAUGAGUGUAAGGCAAGAGUACCCCUGAUCUCCAUUCCCCUGGACAUCUCAAGGGCACAAAUUCUCUGGACACACGGAGGGAAUAAUGCUGACAUUUUAUAGAAGCUGACCCACUGGAUAUCCUUCUCACCCAACUCCAUUAGGCUGGGGAGAGUAAGAGGCACGGUGACAAGGUGGCAAAGAUGUCACCAUGCCAUCCAAUCACGAGGUCUCCAGGAAACUGU
ensembl:lncRNA MYO18B-AS1 MYO18B antisense RNA 1